ensembl:lncRNA LOC120102487 uncharacterized LOC120102487
CUGUGUUUCCAGAGAGGUCAACUGAACAUGGAAGAUGUACUCUGAUUUCAGUGACACCUCUACUAUCUGUUCUGCCUCAAGGCCUGCUCAGCAAUGGUGCUCAUUUGACGGCCUCUCCGUCCUUCACAUGAUGACUUACUUCCCAACAUGGCCUCCCGGCUCCCGUCUGACUCUUGCCAGCAUUCUGGUGUGGCCACUGGCUUACAGUUACCACUUUCAGGACACAAAAGCAUGUCUCUUAUCUGCCAGGAGCUACUGAUCCCAAGAGACCUAGAUGUGUCCAGCUUCAAGCCUCCUCUCUUCUGCAGCCAGCCUGCAGGAGGCUACACGACGACCAAUGAUGCCGUGCCUCCUUAGGAAAUGCUUUCACUUUAGACACAUCUACUCCGAGUUCAGUAAUAAAG